rfam:Perkinsus marinus ATCC 50983 gcontig_1104296599788, whole genome shotgun sequence.
CACCUGGUUGAUCCUGCCAGUAGUCAUAUGCUUGUCUCAAAGAUUAAGCCAUGCAUGUCUAAGUAUAAGCUUUAAACGGCGAAACUGCGAAUGGCUCAUUAAAACAGUUAUAGUUUAUUUGGUGAUCGAUUACUAUUUGGAUAACCGUAGUAAUUCUAGAGCUAAUACAUGCGUCAAGGCCCGACUUCGGAAGGGCUGCGUUUAUUAGAUACAGAACCAACCUAGGCUCCGCCUAGUCCUUGUUGGUGAUUCAUAAUAACCCGGCGAAUCGCACGGCUUGUCCGGCGAUGGACCAUUCAAGUUUCUGACCUAUCAGCUAUGGACGGUAGGGUAUUGGCCUACCGUGGCGUUGACGGGUAACGGGGAAUUAGGGUUCGAUUCCGGAGAGGGAGCCUGAGAAACGGCUACCACAUCUAAGGAAGGCAGCAGGCGCGCAAAUUACCCAAUCCUGAUACAGGGAGGUAGUGACAAGAAAUAACAAUACAGGGCAAUUCUGUCUUGUAAUUGGAAUGAGUAGAUUUUAAAUCUCUUUACGAGUAUCAAUUGGAGGGCAAGUCUGGUGCCAGCAGCCGCGGUAAUUCCAGCUCCAAUAGCGUAUAUUAAAGUUGUUGCGGUUAAAAAGCUCGUAGUUGGAUUUCUGCCUUGGGCGACCGAUCCACCUUUCCUACGGGAUUGGUCGGUAUCAGGUUUGACCUUGGCUUUUUCUUGGGAUUCGUGCUCACGUACUUAACUGUGCGUUGACCGUGUUCCAGACUUUUACUUUGAGGAAAUUAGAGUGUUUCAAGCAGCUUAUGCCAUGAAUACAUUAGCAUGGAAUAAUAGGAUAUGACUUCGUCAUAUUUUGUUUGUUUCUAGACUGAAGUAUGAUUAUAGGACAGUCGGGGCAUCGUAUUUACUGU